CUCUCUCUCUCUGUCAAAAACAAAUAAAACAUUAAAAAAAAAAUUUAAACGCAGCUUCUGCACAGCGCCCUGAGUACUCACUGGGCCCUUAGCACCACCAUUUAUGGGUACGGUUUGCCAGGUGCUGGUGGCCACAGGCAACGUGACCUGAGCAGGGUCUUAUGAGAGUGUGUGUGUGAGUGUGACAAUUCGUGUGAAUGUGUAUGAUGCGUGCGUGUGCACGUAUGAGCUUGUGAGUCUGCAUGGAUGUUAGUCUGUGGGAGUGUGCAUGAGUGACUGUUUUAAUGUGAUCUAUGUGAAUGUGAUUGUGCACAUGUGAGUGUGCAAAUGGGUAUUUGUUGAAGGUGUGUGUGACAUGGGCCUGUAUGUGUGCACUUUGUCCCUUAGGGUGUCUGGAGGCAGAUCCUGCCACUCUCUUCCCAGCGUGGGUGGUGCUGUGCCCACGGUCACCUUUGCUGUAACACAGCAGCCAGGCUGGACCCCCUGAGUGAUUUUGCUCGGAAGCCUGGACAGCCUGGCUCAAGCCCGUCCUUGCCCCCUGGGAUGCUGGGAGGAUCGUUUUCACUCCUCAAUCCUGUGUUUUCAUUGCAAUCUCAAUCCUGUGUUUUCAGUAAAACAGGUUGCCAGUGUCAUGCAUUCUGACUUCAAGGCUUUGUCACCCAAGAUGAGGCGCCCUGCCGUUGCUCACUGGAGCGUGAAGUCAGAGAGCCCUGAGGUCACCAUGCUAUGAGGAAGCUCAUUUGAGCCCCCGGCCUCCAGUCCUGGUCACCUCCAGUCCUGGCCACAACUGUGGGAGAGACCCUGACUCAGAAUCACUGAGUCUUUCCUGAAUUCAUGACCCAUGGAGAAAAAGAAAAGAAACAAAAAAGAGAAGAAAAAAUAAAAUUGAAUAGAUGGACCUGCUAACAGAUUGAAAUACGACUGAAAUUACUUCGUUUUCCUGUAGAAGGCAGACUAUGAAGCGCUUUAUAGUCCAUAAACCAAGCCGGUGGUGAGCCUUGUGUUCUUGAAGAGCGAAGUUGGCCCAGUUGGGCGGGGCUCGCUGUAACAGCUCCGCUCUCCACUAGAUGGCGCUGCUAGCCUACUGGGGUGGAGUGUUGCAGCACCAGCGAUUGUGGCCGUUCUCUGGGGUCUUCUGCGACCAGGUGGCCUCAACAGUCUCUACCAAAUGUUCUUCCAGCAGUGGAACCACUUUUUCCCGUGUGGCCCAAGAACCUCCCGGACUCCACUCUGCUCCUGGGGAUUCACACUUCCGACCCGAGCACCACCAGGUAUGGAGCUGUGGAGUUUCAGACUCUGCAUUCCCCUUGUUUACAGUCUUAAUGGAAUUUAAACCCUCGCCUUUCUCCUUUUUUAGUUCAGUCCCUGUGGCUGUUUCUAAUUUUCCGCUUUCUCUCCAGCUGCUUUUGGGGAAGGGUGCUUUUCCCGUAUUCUCCCCCCUCCCCAGUCUCCGUCCUCUCUCUGCCCGCAGAAGCACCUCCCUUCCCGCGGUUUCUCUCUCCCCCAGUUCAGCUCUCCACGCCGCAUCCCUGCUGAAUUCUGUGGUUCAGGUUGUGCAGAUUGUUGUGUUAGUCCUCCAAUCAGUUUUCUAGGUGUGCAGGAUGGCUUAGUGUUGGUCUGGCUGUAUUUCAUGCAUGCGAGACACACAAAAAACUUCCAUGCUGUUCCACCAUAUUGGCUCCCUCCCUCCCCUUCUUGUUUUUUUUUUUUUGUUUGUUUGUUUUUGUUUAUUUUUUUAUGUUUGAGAGAGAGAGCGAGCGAGAGCGAGUGCAUGGAUGUGCAUGUGCGCAUAAGCGGGGAAAGGGCAGAAACAGAGAGGGAGAGAGAGAAUCCCAAACAGGCUCAGGACUGCCAGCAAGGAGCCCAAUGUGGGGCUUGAACUCUCCAACCAUGAGAUCAUGACCUGAGCCGAGAUCAAGAGUCUGACACUUAACUGACUGAGGCGCCCAGUUGCCUAUCUUUUUGUUUCUCUCUCUCUUUUUGAUAGUUUAUCUUCAGUUUAUCUGGGGGAAUGGGGAGUAGAUGGUUCCAGGCCCCUGUGCCCACUCUGAAGACCACUGUGGCUCAGGGGACCUGGCUUCCUGCCUCUAGGGGUAAAGCAACAGUUCUAAGCAUAAGGGAAGGGAGACAAAUGUCUCAGAUGAGACGACUGCUCAGGCAUUGCUCACAAUGACUCUGGAGGCCUGAGUCCUCUAUUCUUGAGCCUCCUGUUCUCUCCCCACUUCCUGUCCCACUCACCCCUUCUCAGUGCUUCUGGGGCCCCUCCCACUUUUGGAGGAACCCAAAUGAAGACCCCUGUCCCAGUUUAGCUCUCUGAAAACAUCCCAGGUUAGUGUUUUUCUGGGAAAAAGCUGUUAAUUAGGCAGCAUUUCUGAGGUCCAGGGUGAUGGCAUGGCUGUUUUGAUGCAAGGACCGGGGGGGACCCCCAUCGCAGUAGAAGGCCCCCACUGGGAAACUGCCUUCCUGGUGUGAGGAGUGUGGUGUCUGCUCCUGUCUUGGUUCAGGGUGGACAGAGCCAAUCGAUCAUGGCGGCCACCUCCUUAGAACUCACACCUACCUUGGCUGUUUUCAAAAGGCCAUUGUUGGUCUCCGGGUCCGUGGUGACAGUGUAGAGGCCUGCUCUGUCAUUCAGGAUGGAAAACACUGCCUUCCCUGCUGGAGAGCCUGGGGCAUCUUCUCUCUUCACCUUCAGUCUCAGUAUCCCUGCAUCCACCUUGUUUUCAAACACCUGGCCCGUGUACUGCAAGAGAAGGACACAGACACUCAUUCCUGACAUCCUGUGUGGGGACCUGGGAAGCAGCCUGUGGCAGCCUCAAGGGAUCUUCAGCAGGAUGGGCCAUGGUAGAAGGGUCUUUUCUUGAAGCGGGUGUCUGUUGGCCUGAGGGGCACCUGCAAAGGCCCUGCUCAGUACCCUGGACAUGUGCGUCAGCGGUGGGGCUUCCAACAGCUCAGUGUCUACUUCCACUCUGUGCCAAAGGGACGGGAAAGGGUGAAACCGUGUCUCCUAGCUCCUGAAGCUUGGAUCCCAAAGUGUGUAUCAGCCGAGGAGGAUAUGUCCCCAUGGCCAAGUGCAGCCAUUCCGGGCUCUGUUCUCAGGUUGCAGCCACCGUGCGAAGCUCCUCAGAUCCCAGCUGAGGCCAUUAGCCCCGCAGGCUCAGGAGCCAAGCGAGAAGUUGGACCUAGAGUGGCUCCUCCAGCCUGUCCCCCGCACCUCGCUGUCAGGUCCCUUCUGACUCAGUCUCCAUGGGGAGCAAGUGUCUCUGUCUUACAUCCUGCACACGAGACUGUUAGGAGGGCUCUGCUGGAACACCUUCCAGGCUCAGGUGUGACCCUGACUCCAGCCCUAGUCACCUUGGGAGGGACGCUGGGUUUAUUGCCCAGGACUCUGUGGAUGAUAUGGUAACGUCUACAACUGUCUCUGCAUUUCGGUUAUAGGGAAUUCAGGCAUGUGAGCCUCUGCUGUUCUCUGUCUCUUUGUAUCCUGGCGUACCUGUCUUGGGAACAAAGGACAGAGAAGGAUGGGCUUCCUAAUUGUAGCACGUCCAGCAGUGGGUUCAAAAGAAUUAACUCAAUUAUUUUUCGGAUACAUCUUCCAGAGUAGAGACAGUGUGCUCUCUGAGGUCAGACUGGUUCCAAUUCCAGCCCAUGAAUGAAUUCCUAUUAGCACCUUCCUGUACAUUAUUUACUGUGGUCCUCAUAUACCCCCAGAGGGCAAAAUCACUGCCCCCCCCCCUUCCAUAGAUGAUAAACACAGGGAGGUCAGACAACUUCUUCUCCAUUCAACAAGGCUAACUGAUCUGUACUGCUGUCAGGGUAGCACCAGUGGGAGCAGACAGACCAUAAUCUGUACUGCAGUUUAGGAGACCAGGGCUACUAUCACCUCUGAUUUUGGGGAGGGGCACAGAAACACUAAGGUCACAGCUACAGGACUGAGAAGGGGAUGCUUGGGACCUAAAUCCAAGGCCCACUGCCUUGAGCAUAUCCCUGGACUUUAUGCCAAGGGUCUGGCCCAUCUCCCCUGAGAGAAAGCAGCUCAGAGCCUGGGGCUCUAGACACCCAGGUGACCACCCUGUCACCAUUCCCAGUGGCCUGAGCAGGGCCAGCCCAUGGAAUCCAGACCCCAUGUCCCUGGGCUUAAGCCAGGUGACCACCAAACAGGUAGGCCUUGGUUAAACCCCUCAAGGCCUGCAGGCUUUGCCUGGAACCUUCAUCAUGACUCUCCUAUGGCAUUGGGCUGCUUAAGAGUGGGCAAGGGGGUCCAGCCUAAUGGGGUCAGUGCCAGUUAUUCUGUUAUUCUCACUGUGUGAUGCCCUGCUCUGUAAUCCCUGCUACCUAAACAAAUUCCAGCCAGGGGUGGCCGCAUACCACAUUCUGGCUGGUGAGGUCAAAGUGCAAGUCUACCUGGUGGAGGUUAUGGUAAAAAGACACCCGGCAUGGCUCUUGAUCUCUUCCCUCCCUCUUCUAACUGGAUCAGUGGUCUGGUGUAGCAGCCACCAUGAAGACAAAACUCACAAGCUAAGGAAGAUGGAACAAAAAGAAGGAAUCUGUGUCCCUGUGUUGCCGCUUGGUGUGCCCGGAAGCUGGGGCCUUCUGUGUCUGGAUUGUGUUACAUAGAGCAGUAAACCCGUCAUGGUUUUAAGCCAAUCCUGUUGACUUUUCUGGGUGUGUAGAUGAAAGGAUGUCUGCCUCAGGAGGUUGAAAUCAUGCAGGUAAAAUGUGUAGACAUAAACUGCUCAGUAACUUGGAACUGACAGUUGUUCUUGGUUGGUCUGCACCCUGAGCAGGUACAGAUACCUCUGUUUCCCAGUGAGACCCUACUGGUGUGACUGCUGCCUGAGUUAGCACUGAGAGCUGGGAGGUUCCUGCCCUACCCUGAGCCACUGGAGAGGCCCACAUGGGACUGCCCACUGGGGCCCCACUGAGACACCGCCCUUAUCACAGGAAGGAUGCCUGUGCCCUGCCCCCGGCUCCACACCCUGUCUAGAGAGUCCUCUCAGGCCAUUGCGAUGGGGAUUUGUGGUUGGAACACAGAGACUUUGAUUCCAUUCCAAUUGUUGCCUCAACUGAGAAUACAUAAAGGCACCUGGGACCUUCCUUCCUUGAGGAUAUAUCGAGGCAGCAUUGCCAGGUGCACUGACGUGACACAAAGUGGCAAGAGGAAGGGACAGUCCUAAAGACCUGAACAAGUACAACAAUCAAGAUGAUUUGACCUGAAGACGACGCAGAAGCAGAAAAGCAAAAAAGGACCCCAGUCAG